CCUACGGGAGGCAGCAGUGAGGAAUAUUGGUCAAUGGGCGGGAGCCUGAACCAGCCAAGCCGCGUGAAGGAAGAAGGUACUUAGUAUUGUAAACUUCUUUUGUCGGGGAACAAAGUCGGAGACGCGUCUCCGGAUGAGUGUACCUGAAGAAAAAGCAUCGGCUAACUCCGUGCCAGCAGCCGCGGUAAUACGGAGGAUGCGAGCGUUAUCCGGAUUUAUUGGGUUUAAAGGUUGCGCAGGCGGGGGGUAAAGUCAGCGGUAAAAUGCCGGGGCUCAACCCCGGCCGGCCGUUGAAACUGGUUUUCUAGAGUUGGAGAGAAGUACGCGGAAUUCGUGGUGUAGCGGUGAAAUGCAUAGAUAUCACGCAGAACCCCGAUUGCGAAGGCAGCAUACCGGCUCCAUACUGACGCUGAGGCACGAAAGCGUGGGGAUCGAACAGGAUUAGAUACCCUUGUAGUC
rnacentral:rRNA from 1 species